UAGAAGAUGAAGCAUAUCAGGAACAACUUGAGUUCAGGAGAGGUUUUCUUUAGCCAUUAGACUGAUGCAUGCUCAAGUCUCUUCUGCGAAAAAAGUGAUUGUAAAUGCAUGCCAUGCAGUGAAAUAGCAUUCAGUAGAUUUCAGGAGAAUGAAAUCUUCACCAGUGUGGAAUGGAGAGUGUACAAAUCAAUUGAAAUCAAUAGGUGGAUCAGUGUUGAGUCACCAUGGAUGUAGUUCUGCCCAUGAAGACUGACCAUUCCGAUUUUUCAUACUAUUGAAUGGAAACUUUAUCCAGUUCAGAAACAGAUUGACAAAAACCUGGAUGGAAAGCUAAGUUUAGCCUGAUGUCUCUCCAUCCUACACUGUGAUGCCAGCUGUAAGGACAGUCUGUUCAUUGUCCCUCACGGUGCCGUGGAUAUUUAUGGUUGUCUUUCAGCAGCUAAACGUGCAGCCCAGGGAGGUGGUCCACAGUGAGAAGUCCUUCAUUUUUUGAAACACAAUAUUGACCAAAAAGCCUCCUUUUAUCGCAGGAACAGCAGCUUUGGAGG